ensembl:misc_RNA Metazoa_SRP Metazoan signal recognition particle RNA
GCCAGGUGUGGUGGUGUGUGCCUGUAGUUCCAACUACUCAGGAGACUAAGGCAGGAGGAUGACUGAGUCCAGGAGUUCUGAGUUGUAGUGCACUACGCCAAUCAGGUGACUGUGCUAAGUUUGACAUCAAUAUGGUGAUCUCUUGGGAGCCAGGUUACAUAAGAAUGUAUGUAACCAGGUUACAUAAGAAGGGGUGGACUGGCUCAGACUAGAAAUAGACCAGAUCAAAAUUUCCUUGCUGUCUAGUAGUGGCAUGGUAUCUGUGAAUAACCACUGCAUUCCAGCCUGGGCAACAUAGAAAGACCCUGUGUCUA